UACAGAUUAAUUAAGGAGCACCUUCAGCUGAUCCAGGCAGAGGCCUGGGAGGACAGAGCCAGAACGGCGCCGCCAUGCUCGUCUGUGUCUGUGAGCCCAGGAGCAGGUUCCUCUUCACAAGCUGUGCUCAGGUAUUCUCUAUCUUCAUUUCUGAGAAGCCAGCCUAGCCCAUUGCGCACUGCGGCGGGUAAUACUCUGUCCCCUGUACUCUUGCAAUAUCGUUUUCUAAAUCAUUCAUUCCCCCCUUAACACUACAUUACUGCAAGGACCUAACCAAUGCACAUUUUAUGGGGAUCACAUAUAGAAAAGAUUACACCCCAUAACUGUACAGCUUCAUUAACUUUAAAAGCAAUUAAAAAGAAAAAAACCCCACUAUUCCCACCCCGAAGAAGGCUUGCUUCUAUCUCUCCCAAAACUUCCCCUUCAUCUUCUGGCAGAGUUGAGCGCUAUCCUGACCGCUGCCAUCACAGGUUAAGUCAUCUUACUUUUGAAGUUUAUGGUGAUAGAAUCCUGUGGGUUCUAUCUGUGUUCAUGUUUGGUUUCUGUUGCUCAAAUCGUGUCUUUGUGAGUGGGAGACAGCAGUCUCUCUGCAGGAAUUGCUGUGUCCCAUAGCUGGUGAGCUUGAGUUCGUCUCAGGAUCUUCGCUCUUUAAGGCAAGUGCUGGCCUGGAUAGUUCCAGAUGUUCCCCAUGUACCAUUACACCACUUGCGUCUGGAUGCAGAAGUUUCGGGAGCAGAGGUGUGUGCCUGUGCCCAGUUUUCCAAGUCCCCAGUCCGUUUCUGUUUCCAUCGGCAGCUCCUCAGGACCCCAGUGGACAAUGACAGUCUCCAGCCAUCCUGGAGGGUUGUAAUCAAGAGUUUAGAGUCUUAUUUCACAUUUUCCCUACUUUUAGUGAAAACAUUUUCUCACAUAGUAGUUGUUUGGGUAGCACCUUUUAUGACCUCUUGAAGUCUCCUGUUUUGUGCUCACACAGGCAAGUGUACACGUAUGCACACAUUAUAUGAAGGCCAGAGGUCAACUUUGGCAUCAUUUCCCAGGUGCCACCCACAUGGCUUUUUGAGAGAUUCUCUCACUGGCUUGGAGUUUGGCAACUAGGUUAGGUUGUCUGGCCAAGCCCUGGGGAAUCCCUCCUGCUUCUGCCUCCCCACUGCUGGGGUUAUAAGCAGGUACCAACACGCCCAGCUUUUACUUGGGUUCCGGGCACAAAACUCAGUUCUUCCUGUCUGUGCAGCAAACACUUCAUGGACUGAGCCGUCUCCCCACCCGCUGGGUCAUCUGUCUCAGCUACCCGGAAGAGAUACUGACGCAUUCUGGAUGAGAAGUUGGCCUGCCCCUCCCUCCGAAUUCUGUCUUCUCACCCUUGUACAUUGCCCUUUGUUCUAAGAUUUAAACUUUGAUUUGCCAGUCCUUCCCUUUGUGGUCAUGGUUCUUUUACAUGCUAUCUGAGAAAUUUUCUCCACCUCAUAAAUGUUUUAUUUCAA